rnacentral:rRNA from 1 species
CCUACGGGAGGCAGCAGUGGGGAAUAUUGGGCAAUGGCGGAAACUCUGAACCAGCAAAGCCGCGUGAAUGAUGAAGGUCUUCGGAUUGUAAAGUUCUUUUCUAAGGGGAGAAGAAAGUGACGGUACCUUAGGAAUAAGCCUCGGCGAACUACGUGGCAGCAGCAGCGGUAAGACGGAGGAGGCGAGCGUUAUCCGGAAUGACUGGGCGUAAGGGGUGCGUAGGUGGGUUGGCAAGUGAGUAGCGUAACUCAGAGGCUCAACCUUGGUACUACGUCGAAAACUGUUGGACUUGAGUGCAGGAGGGGCAGGCGGAAUUCCUAGUGUAGCGGUGGAAUGCGUAGAUAUUAGGAGGAACACCAGUGGCGAAGGCGGGUUGCUAGACUGUAACUGACACUGAGGCACGAAAGCGUGGGGAGCAAACAGGAUUAGAUACCCUAGUAGUC